rnacentral:lncRNA from 1 species
CCCCCAAAGACCGAGGAUGGCGUCGAGAAUCUCUUGGAGAGGAUGGAUCGGAUGGUCGCCCACGGCCCCGCCUUCUGCGACAUUACCUGGGGUGCCGGUGGCUCCACCGCCGAUCUCACUCUCGACAUUGCCAACAAGAUGCAGAACCUCAUCUGCGUCGAGAGCAUGAUGCACCUCACCUGCACCAACAUGCCCGUCGACAAGAUCGACCACGCCCUCCAAACCAUCAAGUCCAACGGCCUCCAGAACGUUCUUGCUCUCCGCGGCGACCCGCCCCAUGGCCAGGACAAGUUUGUUCAGAUCCAAGGAGGCUUUGCCUGCGC